GUUGAAAGAUGCAGAAAAGUUACCCUGAGAAUAAAGGUAGCAGAAAGAAAAUCUAAUUUAACUUUUUUUUUUUUUUUAAUAUACUCUCUGCCAGCAACUCUCUGCAAGGUCCUAAGGGUUCUAAGUUGAAUAAGGCCCACUCCCUCCCUUCCAGGACUUUAGCUGAGGUUGGUUGGGGCAGAAGUCGGGCAAGACUCAUCGGAACGGAUUAACAGAGACAGAAUCCAGAGGCAACGGGGUGAAUUCCAAGUAUAGAAAAGACACACUUGGUCUGAGGGUAUGUUUCAGCUCAGGCAUGCUGCCAUCAGGACCACGUAAAGCUGGAUUUUUCUACGCUAGUCCAUUUGCACGAUCUGGACUCAGAAGAGAUUUAAGUUUCAAAUCUGGCUUUGUCAGUUAAUGCUUGUGGGAUCUCAACCACGUCACUGACUUCUCUGAGCAUGCUUCCAUAUUUCUACAAAGGAAACAAUAGGUGACUCUGCUGAGUUGAGCACUUGCGAGUACCAAGCAGUAAGUGUUUUACACCUAUUUACUCAUUUAAUCCUCCUGAAAAUCCGUGUGACACCUGUGUUGUUAUUACCCCCAUUUGACAGGUGAGGACCUGAGGCACAGAUGCUAACCAGCUUGCUGGAGAUCACACACUCAUGAGUGGCAGAGUGGGGCUUGGAACCGGGUAGCCUGGCUCUGGAGCCCUCACUCCAUCCACACACCAUGCUGGGACCCAGUCGAGUGACCAGCAGACCGGUUGUGUGGGUUAGGUGGAAUGGUGGAUAUAAACCACACAGCCCAGCUCCUGACCCAUGCUGGGCCCUCAUUCCUCCUGAAUUCCUUCUCAUUCCUGCCGCCUUCUGAAGAAGGUGCCUUGCUUCCCCUUCACCUUCUGCCGUGAUUGUAACUUUCCUGAGGCCUCCCCAGCCAUGC
rnacentral:lncRNA from 1 species